rnacentral:pre_miRNA from 1 species
UUUGUGAGAAUCAUUCUCAGACCACUUCAGAGGGAGCCACUGGUGAUUUUUGUGUUCAUAAGUGCUUCUCUUUGGGGUUGUCUUGGUUG